GUUUGUUACAUGGCAAAAGCUAACUGAUACACAUACUAUACUUCCUACAUGGCUUUCUAGUCAUCUUUAUUUGCUACUUCUCAGAGAUAUUAGGAUGCAGGUCAUGAGCCCCACAUCUAAGGGAUACCUGCAGGGACCAUUCCUCAGCAAGAAAGCGGAGUUUCUGUCAUGUAUCAAAAUCUAAGUGAUUUCCCUUUCAAACAGCUUAAGUCUGUUAUCCUUGGUAUACUUCGAGAAAAGCUUCCUAUUUGUCUACAGCAUUUACUUCUCACUAAUGCAGGACUCGGCGUACUUGUUUGGAAACCCUUCUGUGUCUCUUGCAAGAACACAAAUACAGCCCAGCUUUUCCUUUCCCACUGGCCCAUUGAUGUCUACAAGCCAAGUGUGACCCAGGAAAGAAAAGUCUUGCACCAACUUCCAGCACUUUCCAGGCUCUGCCCGUCUAUGAGACCCGGAGUACUAGCCAUGACUGGUUUCAACCCUAAAGAACACCUCAUCCUUGAAUGCUAAUCUUGUGGUUCUAAUGGCAGGCAAUUUGGGCACCAACUUUUUUAUAUGACCCAGCUGAUCUGAGCAGUCUCCAACUCUCUCCUGGCCUGGCAUCAGAGCAUAUGUCUCUCACUAGAAGCCAGCUGUCGUGUUGUGAGCUGCCCUAUGGAGAGGCCCAUGUGGAGAACUGAGGUCUCUACCAAAGCCAGGAAGGAUCUGAGGUCUGCCAACAGCCAUGUGAGUGGACUUGGAAGCCGAGCUGCCCCCAGUUGUCACCUUGAGUACAGCCAUGUGAGAGACUCUCUGCCAACAUCUUGAUUGCAAACUUUUAAGAAAUCCUGAGCUAAGACAGACGCGGGCGGUCUUCCAGCUUCUCUCAACUCGGAGGGACAGUCGUGCUCCUCCCAGUCAGGGCAAAAGUGAAUCAUCAGUCCAGCUAAAGUUGAAUUGCCACAAAAUCCUAAAGCCUAAAUUAAACACCCUUCGAGCAGCUGGGGAAGGAGAACUGCAGUGGCAAGAUUCAGAGUUGAACAGGUACACUUGGAAGCAAUCUCAUAUGUGACAACAUUCAAGAACAGAUGUGAUCCUGCGGAAGGGAUUACAGAGGAAAAGAAGAAUCCUAAGAUACAAGCCUUCCCAGAGAAAUGCAACACAUAGAAGGAUAUAUUUAUUUUAGGGAGGAAGAAGUAAGGACUCACAGAGAACUGAAUAUAUAGAUGCUUAUCUUAUUUUAAUGCUCUGUUUUUAUAAAUGCUGAACUUCUUCUGAGGGCCUAGUGUCCUAGGCAAUACCACAUAUCUUGAGGUAAAGAAAGAUGACUUAAGAUGCAAGUACCAGAAAACGAUGGCUCUGAUUAGCUUCAACAAUAAAGGACUUAUUACCCUAGGACAAGAAAUCCAUAGUUAGGGCAAAAUCCCUGAGUGGUAUGUCAGGGUUUCAGCUCUGCUUGUCUGGGAUUCCACUGGAUCAGUCCUCCUCCUGUAUGUGUUGGAUCAGACCUCCAGUUGGCUCUCUUCAGAGUGACAAGAAGGCCACUUAGCUCUAAAUGUGACAAGGAGCUAAGAAGUGCCAUUCUUUAUCGUGUCUGUUAAAAGUAAGGAAGCACUCCCUAUGCUACUUUCCCUCAUGUCACAUUGGCCAGAAAUGUGUCACAUUCUCAUGCCUUCACCAUGAUUGACUUGGACCAUUUAAAAAGCUCCCCUAUGGGGCUGGGGCCAGCCUGCCUGCACCACAUGGCUAGGCAAAGGAAUAAUAGUGUAGACCCUUGAACAAAACAGGGGUGAACACAAUGAGGCUAAUAGAAUAAGAGCUGCUAUCAGAGGGCAGCAAUGAAGAAUGAAGUCAUGGAAUCAACAUUGUCUGCUCGGCGGUGUUAGGCUAACGUCGUACAUGUAAAUUCAACAAUUAAUUUAGCUUAAUGUUUCAUUCACAGGCAAUUUUUAGGAUAUAUUGUGCAUUUUCAUGGGAUUUAAAAAGAUCCAUCAUGACACAAUUCCAGUUUGAACAAGUCCUAUGCCAUUGCUUUCUUUCAGCCCCUGCUGGUUUCUAAGUUUCUCUUUCUUCUAUUUCUCUCCUCACCUACAAACGCGUUUCAAAAUUCACGCAUAGCGCAGAAGCUAAACCCUGCUGAACUCCUGUUUUGUCCACCACCAUCCCACCACAGCCAGUGAUUUGUAGGCGUAGGGACGGAACUGACAAUGGCUGCUGGGUCAGGAGUAAUUAAAAAAUGUCAAUGGUCAAGGAGGUGGAUGGAAAUCAGUUCAAACCCAACUGAAGCAUUUAGCUAUUUUACUGCUGCAUCCUUUUAGGCCUUUUCGGCUUAUAAAUAUUAAUUUAAAGACUACCAACAAGGACAGUAAACGGAGUUAGGCAUAAAACUUCCUGUCAGGGGUGAUUUAUAUCCAAUAAAAGGAAAGCAGGAUAGAGAAAGCCUGCUUCGCUAAGUCUAUGAUAGACAGUGAACGAGUACCAUCAAAAUAAAAAGGCUUUCAGUUUGUCGUGGGUUGUGUGGGUGUCUCCCUUCUUAAUAAGCAGCGUGCUAGAAUUGUGUUGUUGGCUUUUAUCAGUGCCUUGCACUGUUGAGGAAAAGUUCUACUGCGUCGCUAAUUGAACUUGUACAGAUUUAUAGGCUCAAGGCCUGUGCCUGAGAGAGAUUAUUAGGACUUAAAAGAUAAUAGCACCAGCAAGAAAAUUAAAACUGCU